rnacentral:rRNA from 1 species
GACAGAGGUGGCGAGCGUUACCCGGAUUCACUGGGCGUAAAGGGUGCGUAGGCGGUCGCGCGUGUCGUUGGUGAAAUCUCCCUGCUCAACGGGGAGGGGUCCAACGAAACUGCGCGGCUGGAGGGCCGGAGAGGGAGGCGGAACUUCCGGAGUAGCGGUGAAAUGCGUAGAUAUCGGCAGGAACACCAGUGGCGAAGGCGGCUCUCUAUUCCAGUACUGACGCUGAGGGACGAAAGCGUGGGGAGCGAUCGGG